rnacentral:rRNA from 1 species
AACGAACGCUGGCGGCAGGCUUAACACAUGCAAGUCGAACGCAUCCUUCGGGGUGAGUGGCAGACGGGUGAGUAACGCGUGGGAACGUGCCCUUCAGUUCGGGAUAACCCAGGGAAACUUGGGCUAAUACCGGAUACGUGCGAGAGCAGAAAGAUUUAUCGCUGAAGGAUCGGCCCGCGUCUGAUUAGCUAGUUGGUGGGGUAAUGGCCCACCAAGGCGACGAUCAGUAGCUGGUCUGAGAGGAUGAUCAGCCACAUUGGGCCUGAGACACGGUCCAAACUCCUACGGGAGGAAGCAGUGGGGAAUAUUGGACAAUGGGCGCAAGCCUGAUCCAGCCAUGCCGCGUGAGUGAUGAAGGCCUUAGGGUUGUAAAGCUCUUUCGUCCGGGACGAUAAUGACGGUACCGAAAGAAGAAGCCCCGGCUAACUUCGUGCCAGCCGCCGCAGUAA